rnacentral:rRNA from 1 species
GAUAAACGCUGGCGGCGUGCAUAACACAUGCAAGUCGAACGAUGAAGCUUAACUUAUUUCUUCGGACUGAACUUAAUUGGUUUAUUGGCGGUCGGGUGACUAACCCUUGCGUAACCUUCCUUGUUCAAGGGGAUAGCCGUUGCAAACGACGAAUAAUACCCUCUUACAUCAAAUAUUCGCAUGUUAUUUUGAUAAAAGAUUUAUCGGUAUAAGAUGGACUCGCGUCUGAUUAGUUAGUGGGUAGAGUAAAAGCCUACCAAGGCAACGAUCAGUAGCCGGCUUGAGAGAGGGUACGGCCACAUUGAGACAGAGACAAGACCCAGACGCGUGCGAGAGGCAGCAGUGGGGAAAUUAGGACAAUGGGGGAAACCCAGAUGCAGCGAGGCAGCGAGAUUUAGAAGGACGUCGGAUUGUAAAAAUAUUUUGUAUGGGAAGAAAGUGACAGUACCAUACGAAUAAGGGCCGGCUAAUUACGUG